rnacentral:rRNA from 1 species
GACGAACGCUGGCGGCGUGCUUAAUACAUGCAAGUCGAGCGAGGUUACUGUUUUGGAUCCCUUCGGGGUGAAGAAGCUUUAACCUAGCGGCGGACGGGUGAGUAACGCGUGGGUAACCUACCCCAAAGUCCGGGAUAACAGCGGGAAACCGCUGCUAAUACCGGAUGUCUUUACCUUGGGGCAUCUUGAGGUAAAGAAAGGUAACGCUUUGGGAUGGGCCCGCGUCCCAUUAGCUAGUUGGUGAGGUAACGGCUCACCAAGGCGACGAUGGGUAGCCGGCCUGAGAGGGUGGACGGCCACACUGGGACUGAGACACGGCCCAGACUCCUACGGGAGGCAGCAGUUGGGAAUCUUAGGCAAUGGACGAAAGUCUGACCUAGCGACGCCGCGUGAGGGAAGAAGGCCUUCGGGUUGUAAACCUCUGUCAUGGGGAAGAAGCAAGUGACGGUACCCCAAGAGGAAGCCCUGCUAACUACGUG